AAAGCGUGAACUCCACCAAAAAAGACAAACCAACGGCCUGAACGCGCUUCAUCGUCCCUGUCUCCAUACCACUGCAGCAGCAAAAGCAACCGGGCAAGGCACGCGAUCGUCCUUGGUGGCGUGAGAUGGAGACACGUAUAACACCAAGAACAACCGAUUUCAUCUCAGCCAUCCCCCCUCUUUCCCUUUCCGGAUAAGCUCAGAUUUUUUUUUCCAGAAAGCUUGUGGAUGAAAAAGGGGAAAGGGGGUUUCAAAUUCAAACUGGAACAUGGAAUCCUGAUUUUGCCCCGAGUCCCUGUCGUUUUUGGCUCUUCCCCCCUUUUUCCAGAAAAACCUAGCCUUUUAGCUAUAUAUACUCGUUAUGAUUAUUAUUUGAGAGGGGGGAUUUUUUGGAGAGAAAUUUUUUUUGAGUUAAUUUACAGCUAACAGAAACGUUGGUGGAUAAUUUUUAGAGAAAAAAAUAUAAAUACAUAUAUCAGAGAAAAUACUAGAGAGAGCUGGAGUUGAAAUUUGUUUGAGAAUAUUCCGAAGGGAAGAAGGUCACGUUGGUGAGAAAGGAUCGCCACUCUAAAAGCUCGUCGACACCCAGUUUCGCUGCAUCGGAGGAGGUAACACUUCUUCCUUUACUACAUCCUUUUUCUUCCCUCCUCUACCUCGAUGUGGUAUUCGAUUUGGGUUGUCGUUGGUUUGGUAAUGAUUUGGUGUGAAGUAUUCAUAUUAUUAAGUUGUUUUUGUUUGGUUUUAGUAUUGAGUAAAAGAUUCUGUGGUGUGAUUACUUUAUGAUAACCCCAGCAAUGUUUCCAUUGUUUAAUUUUCUCUUGGUUUAGCUAGUUUUUUACGAUUUCGUAUGUGUUCAGUCUGCUGCUGUUAGAGUCAUUAUUUUUAAAUAUGGUUUAUGCUUAGCGUCUUCAAUCGGCAUAGCCCGUGCUAUUCUUUACGUUUUGGGGGUGAGUUUACUGUGUUGUUGCUAUUUGCUUAAAGGGAUAUUGCCAAAUUUUAUGUCUUUGUAUGUCCCUUAUCUUUGGUCCUAUAUAAUGGGAAAUGUUUUUUUUUUUUAAAAAGUGUUUCUGCAAAUGUUAGUAUGUUGUCUAUUUUUAUUCACUGUUCUGUUCAUGUUUCGGAAUGCUCAAAUUUGUUUGGUAAAAUACAGGAACUUAAUGCUUCCAUUUCCAAUGCCAUAUUCCAACUUUUAUAAUACCGUCUAAAAUGGUCUCGUUCCAUCUAGUCAUUUAUUUUCUCAUUUGCAUUGGCUUUUCUCCGCUAUCAUAUUUGUCUAAAUAGAUACAUCUAGGUCUCUUCCAUGUAGUUGCAAUCAGUUUUAGUGGUUUUAGUUAUCACCGACUUUAGUGCCAUACUAAAUCACGUGGAGAUUAGAAAAUUAAAUCUUAAAAUAAUAUAUAUAUAUAUAUAUAUAUAUCCCGUGAUUUGAUUUCGAAACAUUUGCUCUUUACCAAGGCUUUUGUGUCCUUAGCAUAUCAUUCUAUGUCUCCCCUAACUUGGCAUAGUUCUGUUAGGCCCUCUAAUAUCUGUGGAAUUAUUUUGGUAUAAUGUGUUUUUUUGUCAUAUGCAGAAACAAUGGUCUUACUUGAUAGAUUUUCUUUAUUUAUUAUUGUUAUUUUCCCCUUUUUUUAUUUAUUUUUUUUCACUUUUGUUUGCUUAUUUUUGCUUUACUUUUACCCUUUUCUUAAAUCUUUUUUUCCUACUCAUAAAGCUCCUAAGUUGCAUGUGUUUUCGCUUAAUUUGAAUUAAUACGCCAAAAUGGGUAGUUUUUUGUAUAUAUCCUGAAGAAGAUUAAUUUAACUCAGUUCCUCCGUGUGUAUUUGCAACUGUUUAAAUAUAGCUAAUUAAUACUUGCUUAUUGAAAUUAUUUUAGUUAUUGUUUAAUUUUGUUCUAUCAUUUUUCUCUAUUUUUUUUUUUGACAUGUUGGGACCAUAUUUAUUCCCCGGUAUGGUAUUGUGUUUCUUUGUUGAAAUGAUUAUAUUGUUCCGGUAUAUCCAUGAUGCGAAAAUUGGAAUAUUUCAUUUGGUGUUAUUUGAAACAUAUGGGUUAUGUGACACCAAAGUUGAUGUUAACAGUAGCUUCUCGUGUUAUGCUACCAUCAUAUUACAUUGUACUUCUAUCAAUAUUAUGAGUUUCGCUUAUGUUGCUUCCUUCUGUUUGCAUGUAAAAAUCGCCGGAGUGCUCCGUGAAUUCUCUCUCCUUUCCUCUCGCAUUUCUGGGAGCCAUAAGAUCUCAAAAUUCCCCUUUCGAGUCAACCCAAAAAUUGACGUACAGGUCCCGAGGUUUAAGGAAUCAAAGAAGGUCAAAGCACUGAAUGAUUUGGACAAAGAGUCCAAAAAAUUUAUUUUGAAAAAAUGUUGUAUUUUGUUUGGGCCUAAGCCCUUUUGUAUCCUCAUUAUUUUGAAUAGUUAGGACAGGUACAAGUCGACUGGGCCUAAGGCCCACAAACAAAGGGUCCAAAUACCGGUCCAAGCGGAUAGAUAACCCGGAUUUGGACCCAUCUCUCUC